AGCGAACGCUGGCGGCAGGCCUAACACAUGCAAGUCGAACGAACCCUUCGGGGUUAGUGGCGGACGGGUGAGUAACACGUGGGAACGUGCCUUUAGGUUCGGAAUAACUCAGGGAAACUUGUGCUAAUACCGAAUGUGCCCUUCGGGGGAAAGAUUUAUCGCCUUUAGAGCGGCCCGCGUCUGAUUAGCUAGUUGGUGAGGUAAUGGCUCACCAAGGCUACGAUCAGUAGCUGGUCUGAGAGGAUGACCAGCCACAUUGGGACUGAGACACGGCCCAAACUCCUACGGGAGGCAGCAGUGGGGAAUCUUGCGCAAUGGGCGAAAGCCUGACGCAGCCAUGCCGCGUGGAUGAUGAAGGUCUUAGGAUUGUAAAAUCCUUUCACCAGUGAAGAUAAUGACUGUAGCCGGAGAAGAAGCCCCGGCUAACUACGUGCCAGCAGCCGCCGUAAGAC
rnacentral:rRNA from 1 species